AUCACCGAAUUGGAGUAACCCUCGCCAUUACGUAACUUGAGUUAAUGAAUUUUAAAUGAUCGACAUAUCUUUUCUUUUACUUUGAAGGAUACCAGUCGACUCGAGCGUGGCAGAUGGUUAAUUUUCCUUCAGUUGCCUUCCCCUUUGUGUGUAGUCUCGAACUCGAAGUAGACUGGAAUACACGAGACACUCAAAUUUACUCAAUAUUGAUCAGUGGAAGUUUAACGGCAAACAAAGAAUACUCGCCAUAAGCAAGCACACAACAGUGCUGGAUACUAAUAAAACCUUGAUCUGCUACAAUAGUAUGCAUCAAUGACUAACUCCGGAACGGAUAAAUCUGUGACAUAUAAUCAAAUGAAGAAGCGAUCAGAUGCGAGUGAUCUCAUAAGAGAUGGAACUCCUAAAAAGUCACCAUGUGGAAAGAAAUGUUUUGUGGCGACGGUGGUGGCACUCUUCUUAUUCUUGAUAUUUGUUGCUCUGCCUGGAGGAAUACUAAUUAUAGUCCAUGGACGAAAAGUUCAUAGUCUGGGAUGUCUUAUUGGUGGAGCCAUUUUGGCAUCAACGCCAGCAGUGGCUAUUGUUGGUGUCUGUAUAGGCUUCUUUAUUCGAAGACGACGCCGGAAAUCGACCGGAAGUGUAGCGUUGAACACACAACGUAUUUGAAUUUCAAAAUGUGCUAGAAUCAGCUUACUGUGAUUUGACUCUUAUUAUUGUUGUUAUUAAUGUCAACAUGGUUUCUGAAAGGUGUCGCUUGACAUUAUUUCAGUAUUCAGUGCUCAUGUACAGGAAACAGACUGUCGAUCAUAUUGAUCUGAUUGUCAUCAAACAAGAUGGAGGUCAAUCUCGCAACAAACUGUAAAAGACAAGAUGGCUAUUUCGUCUUAACAUCGUUUCAUGAUCAACGAAAUGGUUUUCAAGUACGUGAAUGGAGUCUAAACGAGAUUUAUGCUUUGUCUGUCUCAAGGAGAUUUUUGUGAAAGUAACUUAAAUGUGAAAUGUCAUGGACGCAGUGUUGAGUUAUAUCCAAAUGUGUAUCAUCAACGAAGACAGUUUGUUAUGUAAUUUGAAUUGGGGCUGACUUUAUAAUCCAUUAAAAAAAAAAUCAUUAUUUCCUUUAAAUGAAGGAAACUCACCCACCCACUCACUCACAUGCCGCCAGGGUAGUAUUAUUUACGAUAAUUAGAACAAAUGGAUCUCGGAACAUUUUUAUGGAAGACAAAAGAUUCUGAAACUACUGGUUGAUAUUAACAUUCAUUAUUGUAAAUACUCGAUAAACUUGAACUUCGUAUUGACGUAAUCAAAAUUGUUUUGUAUGUGUGGCACUCUAUAGUCGAUAGUUUUCGUUUUUAAUUGUAUAUCAUAAUUCAAUAUUUGAACCAUGUCAUUUAAGAUCAGGCCAUCACCUGAAAAUGGUAUUAAAUCUAUUGAUGUUAAUGAAAGACACAGACAAGUUUAUAGAUGUCAGUGCUCAAUUAUUUGUAAAGGAUACAGUUUCUAGUCGUGUGAAUUGAAAUGUUUGUAUUACCGUUUAAUAUUUCGCUUUAUAUUUAAUAUUUUGUCUCGUAUUAUGAACAAUUUUCGGGAAAUAAUCGUCGUUCUAACUGACCUUAACAUUAUGGUUUUUGUUCAUAAUAGCUACACCAUGCGUGAUUCAAUAGCGAUGAGACUCUAAAAGUAUUUUACGGAAAUAGACCCAAUUAAUACGCCUGUUUACUUUAUGACGCGAUUAAUACUUAUAACCUACUAUAUAUUUAUUUUCUAAAAUCAAUUGAAACAAGUAUGAUUAGUUAUACGGAACAAUUUUGGGUAUAUUUUGCUGUCUUUUUCAAAUGACAAAAGGUUUCCAUAAGAAACUGGUUUUUAUUUGUACGGUAUCUAUCUAGUCAGUUGAGAAUACGAGUGUUUUGAUUAUACCAAAUGUUUGUGUUUUUUUAGUCAUUGUUUUGAGAGUGCAUGUCGAAAGUGAAUACAAAGAUAUAGUGUGUUGAUGGAAUGUGUUUAGCUGAUGAAAGAUAUUAUCUGAAGGGACACUCACUGGUUUUUCCUAUGAAGACUUUUCGAAAAUCCUUAAAAUUCAAAAUGAUUCUGGAUUCAAUCGGUUUAUGAUUAAUUUAUUUACGAUUUGUUUCUUCAAACCUUUUAUAGUAAAGUAAAAUUAUAACUCCUGCAAAGGCACCACAAUCAAUGUACAAGACAUAAGCGAUUAUCAAUAUGCCCCCAUUUCCUUCAUUAAUAGUAUAUUAACAGAAAUAAUAGUCAUUAAGCGAAAAACCAAGUAUCUCUUCAGAAUAUGCAUCUGAUAACGAAAUGUAUGUGAUUUAUUAAAACAUUUUAGUACUUAUCCUUAUUUAUAAAUUGGUAAGCAAAUUAUAUAUGCCGCUUUCUUAAAACGAGUAAAGCGAAAACCAGAAGCUUAUACAUAUACGUCAGUAUACAUUUGUACAUUAAUACAAGGAUUCUUGUACUUAGUCACAAUGUCAUAUCAUCUGCCUCCCUCAAGGUGACUUAUGGUGAACGUAAGAAGGGACUAUUUUAAGACACGGGGUCAUGCCAAGUGCACUAAUCAAAUGAGAACAUUGUUAUCUGUCAACACUUUACACUCUUAUCUUUGUGCAAUAUAAGACCGAUUUAAUUACGGUAUUCGAACAUGAUCCCUACUUUUAACCUAACUGUUUAUGCCAGUAGUAAAUAACAUGUACACAAUGUUUUACUGGUGGACAACAACAGGAGGAAAUGAGGUCCACUAGCGCGUGAAGUAUGCCCGGGGCAUUCAAAUCUUGGUGAUACCUAAAAUCAUCUUGAUAUAUUCAAUGACUUUCAGUGCAGUUAUUUCCUAAAUACAAUUUAGUACUGCUAUGGAUUUAAAUUUUAUGUUAUUUUCUAAGCUGAUUCUGGAGAUAAGAAUUUAUAGAUGGAAAUGUAAAAAAAGCAACUUCUAAUGUUUAUAGAAGAGUCAAGUUAAUAUCGAGAAUAACAGCUUGAUCAAUUUUGAUCCUCAUUAAAGUUAUGAUAUGAAGAACUGGCAUCAGCUUUCAUAUGUAAGACAUAUUUAGAUGCUAAACUCCAGAAUUAUGAUAAGAAACGCCAACAUCAGAGAACUAGUCUUUCAAGUAAUGCUUUCAAUCAAUGUUUCUGGGGUAUUUAGGCCACAACAGAGAAUAUCCUCUGUCUGUCGACAUUUAUGAAUUUACAUAUAAAUGACAAGCAAAGGGAUUUGGUCCUUUGUUAUUAUUUUAUAUAAACAAACAAUUAUAUACUGAUGAUUGAUUUGACCGCCAAAUAAUUCCCUGUUAUGUUUUAGUAAAUAGGAUUGUAAGAAAGAUGAUAUUUAUUAUGAAUUAUGUAGUCUUUUUACUAAUCGAUUUCAUUUAAAUAUCUUAAGGAUGAUUACUAAAAUGUUAUUUUAAUUUAUAAUUCAUAUGAUUCAGUUCCUCACAUUUCAAUACAUUCCUUAAUAAUACUUAUAGAAUAACUGACCAAUUAUGUUUAUUCAGGGCGAUAUUAGAAGCCUAAAAAAUUUUUUAAAGCUCAGAAUAUAUCAUUACACUUCUAUUAUGUAAUCAUAAUCCUUUUUUAUAUAAACAAGACAAAGUCAUUAUUUUCUCUUUUAUCUGUAUAUUUUAUUCACUUUAGCGUAUGUUGACGCCAUUUUACUACAUCAUUAAAGUUUUAUCGCUAUAAUGGCCCAUUUGUUAUUCAUCCAAACGUAAUCCAUCAAAAAUAUGCUGAUUAAAAUAUUACUCGUGAUGAAUUUUAAUAUUAUCAUGUAUUUGUGGUUUUGCUUAUGUUAAGUGUAUACGUAAUUUGUUAUUGUACAUAAAUUAUAAUAUUAAUUAUUUAAAUGAACUGAUUGUUUUACAUUUUAAUCUUUUGUCAUGGCUGACUGUGAAAUUAAAACCAUCGGUCAACAGAAAGGUUUGGUUGUCUUGGUAACACGAAUGCCGCUGAUUAUGACAAAUAAAAAGGAUUAAAAAUAUAUACCAGAUUAUUUUUCAUUUAUUCCCCUAAAUCAUAUGAACUAAGAAAGGAUCACGUUAUUGUUUCAUUGACAGUAUUGUUUUACUUACUAAGCCAUUGUGCGUUAUGUUAAGUGCCAGUCAGUCUCCAAGGCCUCAUCUUUGUAUUUAUAGGCCCACAGUUAAUUUAAGAUAAGUCAAUAGUGUAACAAGAAGUCUUUAUCAAAACAGUAUUGAUUUUAAGAAAUUAUCAUUGUGAAUUUAUCAUUUUAAUGGGUUUUUUUUAUGGAAGAGAAUAAUAAAUGCUUUAAAACCUAA